AAAUAAACUUACAAUUUUUGUACUUAAACUAGAAUUUUCUAACAAAUUUACAUUAAAAUCGCCACAAGUAAUGAUGAAUUUAUUUGAACUACUGAGUUUAUUUAGUACUUCAUCUAAUACUGUUUCAAAACAGUCAUACAAACCAGUAGGUGGUCUAUACACACUUAAAACAAUAAACCGCUCUAAUUCCACACAGGCUAUUUCAACAGUACGUUCAACAGAGUAACUAACUAUAUCCUUGCGUUCUUUAAAUUUAAGUUUGUUAUUUAUUAAAAUUAGUGAACCACCAUGUAUAGCGUUUUCUCUGCUGAACGAGCUACCAAUCUGAUGAUUACCAAAAUUGAACAUUAGCUGAUGGGAUUUCAGCCAAUGCUCAGUAAUGCACAAAAUGUCAACAUUAUUACAGUUUAAAAAUAAUUCUAUUUCUAAUUCCUUACUCAUAAAACCUUGAAUAUUUUGGUGUACCAGAUUGAUAUUACUGUUAAAUAUGCAAGAGGAUGUCUCUAUUGUCUUGCUUUUUAAUUUAAAUUAUUAGAGAUAUCAACAUUUAAUGUUGCAUUAUUAUUAAAGUCAAUAUUAGAAGGUUGCUCAAUAGGAGCAACCUGUUUAGCCAAGUUCUUGGCUGUUAUUCUAAUAAAAUAUGAUAGCGACACUGCUAUUCGUCUUAAAUAAUAACGAGAAAGAUAGUACCUAUCUUUCGUCAUAUAUACAUUUUUACCAACAUAAUUGUUGGUAUCAAUAAUAUGAAUAUUUGAAAUAUUGCAUAAGUUAUAUCUAAGGUUGUUUUCUUCCUGUGGCAAGCUAUUACUGUAAGUAUUAUAUUGUACACUUCAUGAGGCACGUAUUCCAUUAUAUAUCGCUGCAUUCUCUCAGAUAGUUUUAUAUAUGUCGCGUACUAUGUGUUAGUACCUUAACGUGCUGUAAGUCAAAUACGAAGUACUCGUUUACAAACGUCACUUACUGGAGUUAUCGUAUACAGUAAAGUUUCGUGCGCGCAUCUAUCUCUACCUA